rnacentral:ncRNA from 1 species
UAAGUUUUAGGUUGGCUCUUGUUUUUUAAGACAGACUGAUUGGGUGCUAAGAUCCAAAGUGGAGAGGGAAACAGCCCAGAUCGUACACUAAGAUCCCUAAGCAAUCACUUAGUGAAAAAGGAAGUGAUCGAGCGAUGACAACCAGGAGGUGGGCUUGGAAGCAGCCAUCCUUUGAAGAAAGCGUAAUAGCUUACUGGUCUAGCUCCAUGGCACCGAAAAUGUCUCAGGGCUCAAGUGAUUCACCGAAGCGACGAGACCUUAAAAGCAGCAUUUUCAAGUGUCAGUA